rnacentral:rRNA from 1 species
UACGUAGGGGGCAAGCGUUGUCCGGAAUCAUUGGGCGUAAAGAGCGCGUAGGCGGUCCGGUAAGUCCGCUGUGAAAGUCAAGGGCUCAACCCUUGAAUGCCGGUGGAUACUGUCGGGCUAGAGUCCGGAAGAGGCGAGUGGAAUUCCUGGUGUAGCGGUGAAAUGCGCAGAUAUCAGGAGGAACACCAAUGGCGAAGGCAGCACUCUGGGACGGUACUGACGCUGAGACGCGAAAGCGUGGGGAGCGAACAGG